UUUAUUAUUAUUAAAAAUAAUAAAACAUGUAAGUACAUUUCUAGGUAUUCAGACGCUUUUCUAUGAGACUCRAAAUUGAGCUCAGGUGCACCCUGUUUCCAAUGAUCAUCCUUGAGAUGUUUCUACAACUUGGUUGGAGUUCAACCAAUUCAAUUGAUUGGACAUGAUUUGUCGUGUGGAAACCAUUUGAUCAAUUUUAUAAUAUGGCUGUAAUGUAAAAAUAAAUAAAUAUAUGGACAAGGUCAAGGGGUCUGAAUACUUUCCGAAUGCUGUGUGUAUAAUAUAUAGUAAAAAAUAUAUAUAAUUUGCGGUAGUCAAAUAUUGUCAUUCUGAGAUUGUCGCUUCUUCCAGCUCCCUCUGUUUCGGCGUGGACCAGUCCCAUGGAUCAUCUUAACGUCUUUCAGUCAUCCCUUCCUACCCUGGUCUGGGGCUGGUUGGGUACAAUUACACUGUUUUGAGGGUGGUGGAUGGGAGUAAAUGCACCUAUUUUAAGUAACAGUUAAGAAAUCUGCCUCUCAAAAAUGUACAUUUUGUAUUUUCAGACCAUUGCCCUCUUGAACAUUUACCGUAACCCUCAAAACACUGCCCAGUCUGCCGAUGGUUUGCGCUGUGCUGUCAGUGAUGCGGAGAUGCAGGAGCACUAGGAGAUCUUCACAGAGAUGGAGAAGUAUGGUGGAGGAGAUGAAUGUGCGACAACUUGGGAGACCAUCUGGUUGGAAACGUAUACGUGAAGAACGUCAUUUCGCGCACACACACACCAACUCUGUGAUGGUUUCUGUGUGUAGUUCCGUCGUGAGGAAAACGCGGAGAAGGCAGUGAUGGAUCUGAAUAACCGCUGGUUCAACGGUCAACCAAUCCACGCCGAGCUCUCUCCCGUUACAGACUUCAGAGAAGCCUGCUGCCGCCAGUACGAGAUGGGGGAGUGCACUCGAGGACGCUUCUGUAACUGCAUGUACGGUACCUGAAACCCAUCUCCAGGGAGCUGAGGGAGCUGUACGGACGCCGCAGGAAGAAGGGAGGGGGGCAUCGUUCUCGCUCCCGUUCCAGGGAACGCCGUUCUCGCUCGAGGGAUAGAGGCAGGGGAGGCGGACGCGACCGUGAGGAGACGUUCCAGAGAACGCUCUGGAAGGUUCUAAACCAAGCCACCACUUCACGUCCAUCUCACCUUCCAUCUCCAUUAUCACUCUCCAUCCAUCCUCAAAUCCCUAUAUCUUUCCCUCCAUUGCGGCCUUUCAAUUCCCCGUUGGCCCUUUCAUAUUGUCCCAAUGAAUACAACAAUUUGGAAAAUGUU